AGAAUAUUAAGAUAAGAAUUCUAUUAGCUUUCAAGGUUAAGAGUGGUUGUAUAA
rnacentral:tRNA from 1 species